UACGUAGGGGGCAAGCGUUGUCCGGAAUCAUUGGGCGUAAAGAGCGUGUAGGCGGCUAUACAGGUCCGCUGUGAAAACUCGAGGCUCAACCUCGAGACGUCGGUGGAAACCGUAUGGCUAGAGUCCGGAAGAGGAGUGUGGAAUUCCUGGUGUAGCGGUGAAAUGCGCAGAUAUCAGGAGGAACACCAAUGGCGAAGGCAGCACUCUGGGACGUGACUGACGCUGAGACGCGAAAGCGUGGGGAGCAAACAGG
rnacentral:rRNA from 1 species